rnacentral:rRNA from 1 species
CCUACGGGUGGCAGCAGUGGGGAAUAUUGGACAAUGGGGGAAACCCUGAUCCAGCGACGCCGCGUGAGUGAAGAAGGAUUUCGGUAUGUAAAGCUCUAUCAGCAGGAAAGAAAAUGACGGUACCUGACUAAGAAGCCCCGGCUAACUCCGUGCCAGCAGCCGCGGUAAUACGUAGGGGGCAAGCGUUAUCCGGAUUUACUUGGUUUAAGGGGAGCGUAGAUGGGAGGGCAAGUCUGGAGUGAAAUCCCGGGGCCCAACCCCGGAACUGCUCUUGAAACUGUGAAGCUGGAGUGCAGGAGAGGUAGGCGGAAUUCCUGGUGUAGCGGUGAAAUGCGUAGAUAUCAGGAGGAACACCGGCGGCGAAGGCGGCUUACUGGACUGUAACGGACGUUGAGGCUCGAAGGCGUGGGGAGCAAACAGGAUUAGAUACCCUUGUAGUC